CACGAGGAGGAAGAGGAAGUCAAUCCAGUCUUAACAAGAACGAAUGCAGGGAGGAUGGAACAGAGCUUACUCAGAGCUAAAAAAAACCCUGCACCAUCUCUUACUCACAGGUAUGCCCAUAUAGAUCCACACUCAGCUAUCAACAACCAACACUGGAAUGUACUUGCCUGCAUGUCUGAGUUAGUGAAGCUGCAAGCUGACAGUCCAUGCAGAGGACUUUAUUGCCAUGGCCUUUCAAUGUCCUUCGUGUCUUCAUCACAAACUGCCCCAAGGCCUCCACGCGCUCUGCCACCUGAUGAACUGCAAGGAAUUCAUCACAGAGAGUCACUAUGGUCCUGUUACAGCAAGCAGGAUUGAAAGAGAGUGCAAUGGGGAAGACUGAAGUCAACCUUCCUUUUCCACCUGCAGUUUCUAGGAUGCCUUAAGAGAGCAAAGACUUUGUCUUCCUGAUACUUCAAAGGAAUAGUCCUGUGUGCAUCUAGAAUUGGGCAACGGCAAACUUAAUGCUGAGAUAAUCUACUUAGAGGACAUUAUGGCGCAAGACUACCCUUUUGCAUGGGCACCUUCCACAUUGCAGGUUUAUGUUCCGGAGCCGAACAAUUGUUCUCAGCCAUUAGAGAACUCCCAGGGGUACAAGAGAAUCCUAUGAUUCAAAUCCUUCACUUUAAUAGAAUUGUGCCCUUUUACAGGCAUGGCUUCAGGCUUUACAUGCUUUAUUCUCUAUAAACAUGCUUGCAGGUAUAAAUUAGAAGACUUUGUAGCCUAAGAACGCUUCCCAUUAAGGUGGACAAUUUUUAGCAAGUAACAAAUUAAGCAGCAACUGAAGCCUUUGCAUAAUAGGAGCCAUCUUGAAUCCAUUUGUAUUGUGUUGAGAUUCUUGUCAGCCAUUAACCUAUUUAAAAAAGUUUCAAAGCAGGGAAAUGUUUGAAAAUGAGUCCAGCAGUCUAAUUUAUCUAGCAAGUGGCCUUAAUCUGUUCUAUGAUGUUCUCUAAUUCACAGCCUGGGCCUUAGAAAGUGGGAAUUAUUGUGCACAUUGCUUGUGACCUAUUUGAGUAAGUCUUACAACAUCAGUUUCCCCAUGAAAUCCAUCCCCGGAUGUCUAGAUGAACACCCAAAGCAAAAUAGUUUUUCGGAGACAGCAAAGUAGCAUAAAAGCAACCCUCGGGAGAGUCAGAGGAGUAUUCUGCAUUUUCAAGAUUUGUAUGGAUUUUUCCUGAAGUAUUUGGAUAAAGCCAUGCUAAAA